UUUUGCAGUGGAUUUUUUCUCUGCUUCACUGUUAGCAGGCAAAAAAGAAACGGGCCCAUUGUCUUUAUUGUCGAUGUCAUCAAAAGGUUAAUAAGAAUUUGCUUUCCACUUUUCUUCGUCAUCAUGUGCUUCUAUCUGCUUCCACGUGUCGUCAACGGACCAGACGCCAGAGCAGGCUUCCAGAAGAUGUUCGACGAAAUCACCAAUCACUGGUGGCAGUUACUUCUCCAAAUAAGAAACUUUUAUGAAACUACUGUUUCGGACGUGCUCCUCCACACGUGGUACUUGUCGGCGGAUUUCCAGC